rnacentral:SRP_RNA from 11 species
CCGCGCCAGGCCGGCAACAAAGCACGAAAACC